UUACGGUCAAAUCACGCUGAAAACACCGGUUCUCGUUCGAUCACCGAAGAGCCAUCGUCAGUACUUAGAUGGGGGACCGCUUGGGAACACCUGGUACUGUAAG